rnacentral:rRNA from 1 species
AUUGAACGCUGGCGGAAUGCUUUACACAUGCAAGUCGAACGGCAGCACGGGGGCAACCCUGGUGGCGAGUGGCGAACGGGUGAGUAAUACAUCGGAACGUGCCCAGUCGUGGGGGAUAACGUAGCGAAAGUUACGCUAAUACCGCAUACGAUCUACGGAUGAAAGCGGGGGACCGUAAGGCCUCGCGCGAUUGGAGCGGCCGAUGUCAGAUUAGGUAGUUGGGGAGGUAAAGGCUCACCAAGCCGACGAUCUGUAGCUGGUCUGAGAGGACGACCAGCCACACUGGGACUGAGACACGGCCCAGACUCCUACGGGAGGCAGCAGUGGGGAAUUUUGGACAAGGGGCGCAAGCCUGAUCCAGCCAUUCCGCGUGCAGGACGAAGGCCUUCGGGUUGUAAACUGCUUUUGUACGGAACGAAAAGGCUCUGGUUAAUACCUGGGGCUCAUGACGGUACCGUAAGAAUAUGCACCGGCUAACUACGUGCCAGCCGCCGCGGUAA